rnacentral:rRNA from 1 species
CAGGUCUUGACAUCCUCUGACAACCCUAGAGAUAGGGCUUUCCCUUCGGGGACAGAGUGACAGGUGGUGCAUGGUUGUCGUCAGCUCGUGUCGUGAGAUGUUGGGUUAAGUCCCGCAACGAGCGCAACCCUUGAUCUUAGUUGCCAGCAUUUAGUUGGGCACUCUAAGGUGACUGCCGGUGACAAACCGGAGGAAGGUGGGGAUGACGUCAAAUCAUCAUGCCCCUUAUGACCUGGGCUACACACGUGCUACAAUGGAUAGUACAAAGGGUUGCAAGACCGCGAGGUGGAGCUAAUCCCAUAAAACUAUUCUCAGUUCGGAUUGUAGGCUGCAACUCGCCUACAUGAAGCCGGAAUCACUAGUAAUCGCGGAUCAGCAUGCCGCGGUGAAUACGUUCCC